CCCCCAGGUCCCCUCUCUGAUGUCCCCUCCCAGUCCAGCGAGUCCGAGGAGGGGGGGCGCCACGAGCCGGACUCGGAGGAGGCGCUGGAGACACAGGGGCUCUGACGCCGCCGCUCCCGAUGGAUUCCUCCCGCGGGACCUUCCAGAACCUUCCCUGCCGUGUCCCCCCCGGUGUCCCCAAUGUCCCCCCCCCCCGUGUCC